UACGUAGGUGGCAAGCGUUGUCCGGAUUUAUUGGGUUUAAAGGGUGCGUAGGCGGCCCCGUAAGUCAGUGGUGAAAUCUCUCAGCUUAACUGAGAGGGUGCCAUUGAUACUGCGGGGCUUGAGUACAGAUGAGGUAGGCGGAAUUGACGGUGUAGCGGUGAAAUGCAUAGAUAUCGUCAAGAACACCGAUAGCGGAGGCAGCUUACCAAGCUGUAACUGACGCUGAGGCACGAAAGUGUGGGGAUCAAACAGG
rnacentral:rRNA from 1 species